GACGAACGCUGGCGGCGUGCUUAACACAUGCAAGUCGAACGGAAAGGCCUCUUUCGGGGGGUACUCGAGUGGCGAACGGGUGAGUAACACGUGAGUAACCUGCCCUUGACUUUGGGAUAACUUCAGGAAACUGGGGCUAAUACCGGAUAGGAGCUCCUGCUGCAUGGUGGGGGUUGGAAAGUUUCGGCGGUUGGGGAUGGACUCGCGGCUUAUCAGCUUGUUGGUGGGGUAGUGGCUUACCAAGGCUUUGACGGGUAGCCGGCCUGAGAGGGUGACCGGCCAUAUUGGGACUGAGAUACGGCCCAGACUCCUACGGGAGGCAGCAGUGGGGAAUAUUGCACAAUGGGUGGAAGCCUGAUGCAGCAACGCCGUGUGCGGGAUGACGGCCUUCGGGUUGUAAACCGCUUUCGCUCAUGACGAAGCUUUGUGUGACGGUAGUGGGUAAAGAAGCACCGGCUAACUACGUG
rnacentral:rRNA from 1 species